GUUCUGUAGGUUUCCACUUCAAAAUAGAGGGAGAGUCACUCGGCACAACAGAGGUAUCUGGAGGUAGUAAUUCCAUCUCUGGGGAUAAGCAAACAGCAUAUUUUCUGGUUAAUGGCAUAUAUCAUAGCUACGCACUCUGGGUCUCAUCUCCACCUUUGGAGGCCCUAUUGAAACCGAGCAUCCUCUUGUAUUUACAGGUGGU